AGAGUUUGAUCAUGGCUCAGAAUCAACGCUGGCGGCGUGCCUAACACAUGCAAGUCGAACGAGAAAGUGGAGCAAUCCAUGAGUACAGUGGCGCACGGGUGAGUAACACGUGACUAACCUACCCUUGAGUGGGGGAUAACUGAGGGAAACCUUAGCUAAUACCGCAUAAUACCUACGGGUCAAAGGAGCAAUUCGCUUAAGGAGGGGGUCGCGGCCGAUUAGUUAGUUGGCGGGGUAAUGGCCCACCAAGACGAUGAUCGGUUUCCGGCCUGAGAGGGCGCACGGACACACUGGAACUGAAACACGGUCCAGACUCCUACGGGAGGCAGCAGUGGGGAAUUUUGCGCAAUGGGGGAAACCCUGACGCAGCAACGCCGCGUGGAGGAUGAAGUCCUUCGGGACGUAAACUCCUUUCGAUCGGGACGAUUAUGACGGUACCGGAAGAAGAAGCCCCGGCUAACUUCGUGCCAGCAGCCGCGGUAAUACGAGGGGGGCGAGCGUUGUUCGGAAUUAUUGGGCGUAAAGGGUGCGUAGGCGGUUUGGUAAGUCUUGUGUGAAAUCUACAGGCUCAACUUGUAGUCUGCACGAGAAACUGCCGGGCUUGAGUGUGGGAGAGGUGAGUGGAAUUCCUGGUGUAGCGGUGAAAUGCGUAGAUAUCAGGAGGAACACCUGUGGCGAAAGCGGCUCACUGGACCACAACUGACGCUGAUGCACGAAAGCUAGGGGAGCGAACAGGAUUAGAUACCCUGGUAGUCCUAGCCCUAAACGAUGACUGCUUGGUGUGACGGGUACCCAAUCCCGCCGUGCCGUAGCUAACGCGUUAAGC
rnacentral:rRNA from 1 species